rnacentral:lncRNA from 1 species
ACAGGCAGAAAGCAAGUGAAUAUAAAUCAGAAGCCAAGCCUCUUCAAGACCUUCUCAUGGAGAGUGUGAACUUUUCCCCUGCCAAUCUCUCCAGCACUGGUUCCAGGUAUCUGAAUGCUUUGGUUGACAGCACAUCGCCCUUGAAACUAAAGAUACCUCACUAGCUAGGUUUAUCCCUGCAGUGAAUAAUUCGACAUCUGAUCUUUCAAACAAAAUCCCAAACUGAAGAAAUCAAGAUUGAAUGGGAAAAUCUUGAAAAAAAACUAACUGCAACAUUAAUAUUGGAAAAAUGUCAAAAAGAGGAUCUCAAGAAAGUAGAGUUUCAUUUGUCUUUGGAAAGGGUCAAAGUCGACGGUCAUCUUCAGAACAGGGAUGUUCUAAAAACAAAGUCAGUGGAGUUCAGAUUUGAAAUCAAAGCUGCAGAGGAGUCACUUUCAGCCAGAGGCAUGGAUGCUUCUCCAUUUCAUCAGUCCCUAGUAGCGGUAUCAGAGAAACUGGCAGAGUUAAAACGAUAGACCAUACCUUUGAAGAAAAAAAUGGAGUUCUAUUUAGAUUUAAUGCUGAAUCCAUCUCUUGCUCAAGUGAAAAUUGAAGAAGCAAAGAGAGAAUUAGGUAGCACUGAAGCUGAACUUACAAAGAAAGUAGACAAAAUGGAACCGUGA